rnacentral:rRNA from 1 species
CCAUUUUCAUUAAUUUAUUUCAAAAUUAAUUCCAAAAAUAUUUUUAUUGUAAUUCAUUUUUACUUAAACAUAAACUAUACCUUGAUUUGAUAUAUAUUUCUAUUGAAAUAAUUAAAUAUUAUUUUUCUUCUAAAAUAUUCUAUAACAACGGUAUAUAAACUGAUUGACAAAUUUAAGUUAGGUACAACGUGGUUUAUCGAUUAAAAAACAAAUUCCUCUAAAUAGACUAAUAUACCGCCAAAUUUUUUAAGUUUCAAGAUCAUAUCUAUUACUACUCAAAUUUUUAUAUUAACAAUUUAAAAUAAUAGGGUAUCUAAUCC